rnacentral:rRNA from 1 species
UACGUAGGGUCCGAGCGUUGUCCGGAAUUACUGGGCGUAAAGAGCUCGUAGGUGGUUUGUCGCGUUGUUCGUGAAAACUCACAGCUCAACUGUGGGCGUGCGGGCGAUACGGGCAGACUGGAGUACUGCAGGGGAGACUGGAAUUCCUGGUGUAGCGGUGGAAUGCGCAGAUAUCAGGAGGGACACCGGUGGCGAAGGCGGGUCUCUGGGCAGUAACUGACGCUGAGGAGCGAAAGCGUGGGGAGCGAACAGG